UUGACCUCAAAUCAGAUAGGACUACCCGCUGAACUUAA
rnacentral:rRNA from 1 species